rnacentral:rRNA from 1 species
UAGUGGCGUACGGGUGAGUAACACGUGAAUCAUCUACCUUCGAGUGGGGAAUAACCAAAGGAAACUUUGGCUAAUACCGCAUAAUACCUACGGGUCAAAGUGAGCAAUUGCGCUUGAAGAGGAGUUCGCGGCAGAUUAGUUAGUUGGCGGGGUAAUGGCCCACCAAGACGAUGAUCUGUAUCCGGCCUGAGAGGGCGCACGGACACACUGGAACUGAAACACGGUCCAG